rnacentral:rRNA from 1 species
UACGUAGGGCGCAAGCGUUGUCCGGAAUUAUUGGGCGUAAAGAGCUCGUAGGCGGUUUGUCGCGUCUGUCGUGAAAGCUUGGGGCUUAACCCCAAGUCUGCGGUGGAUACGGGCAGACUAGAGGCAGGUAGGGGAGAACGGAAUUCCCGGUGUAGCGGUGAAAUGCGCAGAUAUCGGGAGGAACACCUGUGGCGAAGGCGGCCCCCUGGGCCGCGCCUGACGCUGAGACGCGAAGGCUAGGGGAGCGAACGGG